UAGAGUUUGAUCCUGGCUCAGAUUGAACGCUGGCGGCAGGCCUAACACAUGCAAGUCGAGCGGUAGCACAAGAGAGCUUGCUCUCUGGGUGACGAGCGGCGGACGGGUGAGUAAUGUCUGGGAAACUGCCUGAUGGCGGGGGAUAACUAGUGGAAACGGUAGCUAAUACCGCAUAACGUCGCAAGACCAAAGUGGGGGACCUUCGGGCCUCACGCCAUCAGAUGUGCCCAGGUGGGAUUAGCUGGUAGGUGGGGUAACGGCUCACCUAGGCGACGAUCCCUAGCUGGUCUGAGAGGAUGACCAGCCACACUGGAACUGAGACACGGUCCAGACUCCUACGGGAGGCAGCAGUGGGGAAUAUUGCACAAUGGGCGCAAGCCUGAUGUAGCCAUGCCACGUGUGUGAAGAAGGCCUUCGGGUUGUAAAGCACUUUCAGCGAGGAGGAAGGGUAAUGUGUUAAUAAGACAUUGC
rnacentral:rRNA from 1 species